rnacentral:rRNA from 1 species
UACGUAGGGGGCGAGCGUUGUCCGAAGUUACUGGGCGUAAAGAGUACGUAGGUGGCUUGUUAAGAUACAUCUGAAAGGCGACAGCUCAACUGUCAAUGGUGGUGUAAGACUGGCAGGCUUGAGGCAAGCAGAAGAGUGUGGAACUCCGAGUGUAGCGGUGGAAUGCGUAGAGAUUCGGAAGAACACCCAUGGCGAAGGCAGCACUCUGGGCUUGAACCGCAAGGUGAACCUGACACUGAGGUACGAAAGCCAGGGGAGCGAACGGG